rnacentral:lncRNA from 1 species
GUGUGUGGCGGGGUGGGGGGGGGCAGGAACAAGGUAGGUGAAUCAGAAUACACUUCUUAAGAGCCUUUUCAGAAUGUGAAAGAAAGAAUGUGAAAGGCCACCUGAAAGGUUUCAGGGACUCAUGGACCCAGAGCUCCAAAUAGAACCCACAGCCUGCAGCCACAGGGACUGCUGGGUAGAACAUGGAGGUCUGGUUCAAUCUUUGUGAUGCAAAGCUCGCUGAAUGUGGGAGAGCAGUGGUUGUGAAGGGCAGGUCGAAAAGGGUGUGCACACACAGGAGGACUACUGGAUCAGCCAGCUGAUUCACAGAUGGCAGCUGAAAGAAUGGCAGAUGGGGAGGAGAUGACUGGCCCUCGCUUUGCAGUAGAGACAAAAGCAGGAGAAAGGAUCAGCUGGGCCCAGGAGAGGGCAGAGGAGGUGAGGGGUUUGCAACAUGUUGCAGAGCAGUGGGCAAGAAGAAUGAGAAAGCAGAGGAAGGAGCCCAGCAGCUGGGAGAGGAGAAGGCUGUUGAGAGAUUGAGGAAGGUACUGCACCAAGAAAGGGGCAUCAGGACUGAGGAGGGAGAGAAAGUGAUGAAUCCGGGUGAGCAAAGGCAAGCAGAAAAGAACAUGGCACAGGUAAGACAUGAAGGAGAGGUGCGAGGAGGCCGAAAGUAAUGAAGUUUUAGUGCUUGUAUCAUUUUGGAAUCAGGUGAUCAAUGGUUGAGAGAAUUACUCUGAUAUAGCAAAUGACUAUCUCCAAUACUGCAGAACUGAGAAGCUAGGAGUAUUAAGGAUGAAAUCUGACAGCAGAUGGACUCAGUAGAGCCCUCUGGGGGCAAAGAGUUUGACAAUGGUGGCAGCAGUGAAGACAGGUCAAGAAAGGAGCCAUCAGAAAGAAAAGACUCAUGAGUUCAUGGAUUAUCUGGCAGGUGGCAGGGCAAGUAGGAAUGAUGACAACGAAAAGUAGAGAGUCUCUGGAAAAGUAAUGGUAGAAAAUGCAGGGGAUUGCUAUGCAAGGGUUAAGUCUGUAUCCAAGGUGGAGAGAGAGAGAAAUGGAUGUUGGGCUGUCAUGGGAAGAUGAGAUAUCUGUUAUGUAAAAGAGUCAGCUGAAUAAUAAGGGAAUAGGAGGCACACAAUGGGGACAGAGACUCAUAAAGUAGUAGGGGGUCAGUUUUGAACAGGAGCUAGUGAGGAAAAGGAGCAAGUACAAAGUAGAGUUCCCAAGAUAGAGGUCUUGGCACAUCUCAGGGCACAAGUCAGUAGGAUGCAUGGUGUCAGGGUCUGACCUUAGAAGCAAAGCACAGAAUCAAAAGUCCAGGCAUUUGCAGAAUGGGGCCCUACAGAGGUAGUAGGGCAACGGUCCACAGUGAAUUGUGUGAAACAGACAAAACCAGGCAGCAAUGCACUUUAUGAUAGCUCCUGCAUAGAUGGCACUGGCAGGUAACCUCAGGGACAUGGAGAUGGAUCCAUGCAGACGGGUCUCCAGAAUAUGGAUAGAAAGAUGCUUGCAAAUGUAGAUGAGACAAUUUGUAGUGUUCACUGUUUCUGUGCUUCUACCAUUCCAAGGUUGCUAGAAGGCUGGACAUGUGGCCUGUGGGGGCUAACUCCACAGGGAGUCAUGCUAAAGUCAGGGUGGGGUGAGAAGUUGAUAGUGGAACCCAGUGGGGCAUUAUGGAUUUAAUAUGAGAAAGUAAUGAAGGCAGCCAAAUGCAAUUCAGGAGAAAGCAAGUUUUUAGAGUUGGGGAACUUUGGGAUUUGAAGAAUUUCUAAUUUGGGUCAAUUCAUCCAGAGGAUAAGAGUGAAGGCAGGAGAACAGGAUGGAAAGUUAGUACCUGUAUAAGGAGAGACUCUUAAAAUUUGAACAUGAGUGAUGUGAAGGUUGUAUGUCAAGAGGGAAAGAAAAAACACGUGGACUCUGGACAUGAUUAGGGGUACUAUGAGGGCAAACUCUUUGAACAGGGGUGCAUUUGGUCAAUGGCACUUUACUGGGGAAAAUGGAAAUGAUGGAGAAAAAGAGGAACAGGAAAAAGUAGCAGGACUGACUAGAGUUUUGUGGGAACUUGCUUGAUGGAAUGGGAAGAAAGAAGAGAAAGAAAUUAUAGCAGAAAAGAAGUAGGAACGGGAAGCUUAAUGAAAGUAAGAGGAGGGAAUCAAAGGAAGAAAUGGUAGGUCAAAGGUUCAGAAAGAGAAAGUGGGACAGGGAGAGAAUAUAAAGAGUUUGAGCAGUGAGAGCACAUCCAAAAAGUGAGAAGACUCAUAGGGAGAAAAGAGUGAAUUCAAAUAGGUGGCAGGCACUAGGCCACACCAUAAGGGGUUCAUGCUGAAGUCAGAGUGGAGUGUGAAGUUGACAGUGAAACCCAGUGAGGCAUCAUGGGUUUAAUAUGAGAACGUAAUAGAGGUAGCCAAAUGACAAUGCAGGAGAAAGCAAAGUUCUGCAAUUUAGGGAUUAAGGGUUUCUAAGAUAAGCAUGGGCCAUAGAGAUGAGGCAGGGAGCCUUCGCUUGUCCAGGCAGAGAAAGAGAAGAAAUGGUCUGAGAAAGAAAGGCAGCAAGGUGCCGGGCGUGGUAUAAUCCCAGCAGCUUGGAAGACUGAGGCAGGAGGAUCACGAGUUCAAAGCCAGCCUUAGCAAAAGUGAUAGCGUAACUCAGUGAGACUCUGUCUCUAAAUAAAAUACAAAAUAGGGUUGUGGAUGUGGCUCAGUAGUCCAGGUGCCCCUGACUUCAAUUCCCAGUACCAAAAAAAAAAAAAAAAAAAAAGGAUGUAAGACGAUUCAUCAAAAGGGAGAGUAUCGUCAGAAGACACUCAAAAAGGAUAGAGUGAAGAGAGAGGGGUGGUAGGGAGAUGGGCCAGUCUUGGAGUUGCAAUGAAGGUACCUAAGUGCUCAGGCUAGACUGCAAGCCUGCAUGGAAAGCAGAAAAGGGUUGGGCAUGGAAGAAUAUAUGCAUUUAAAGCCUUGAAUGUUGUUGCAUGGGUGCAAAUUUAGGGCCAGACUCUAUUAUAGGGAACGGUGGAUACUCAAAUGGGUGGAUAUAGGGAUUGAAGUUUAGGACAGAUCGGGUUGGGGUAUACUGGGUUGUACUGGAGGACAUGUUUAGGAGAAGAAAUGUUAGUAUUGAAGGUAGGAGUGGACUUGGACCUUCGGGCAGGCCCCAGACAUAGAGAGGUAACAAUCAUCUUCUACCAAGCUGGUGGACUAUUCCAUUUUAUUGUUGAGGGUGAUGAAUUCAGGCUAGGGAAGACCAGAGUCCACCCAGAGAAGAAAGAGGAAUUUUAAGUAGGGAAAAAGGAAGGAAAAAGGUAAGAAGCUGGUCUGUAGGAAAACUAGGAAUUUGGAGACCAAACUGGCAGGAUCUGUAAGGGCUUUUUUUCUGGUUAGAAAGAAGAGGAUAGAUUAAGGAAAAGAGAUAGUAACAACACUCAAGGAUCAGAUUGAUAAGAAACCUGUGAGUGGGAGACAGAGCCUUCAACUGGAGUUGGAACAGAUCCUGGAUGAAGGAGUAAACAGGGAGGGAAAUUUGGUGGAUCCCAGUGGAGAGUGCCAGGUCAGAGAGGGAAGUGCUGAGAUCCUUGAGCGAGGACCUCCAAUGGUCACCACUGGAGGAAGGGUGGAGGUAGGAGACGGGAGAGUGAAGUCUGGAGAGUACAGGUGGCGUCCACACCAGUGAUUCUUAACCAGGGGUGGGGGGGGGUGGAUUCCACCCGAGGGGGGGCUGUGGGCACGGCCCCCAGGUAGGCCUAUCAGAGCAUCAGGGGGAGCACUGAUUUGCUCACAAACAGAAACAGCAACAACAAACUGACCCAAAGAUGACUCUGAUAGGCCACCUGGGUGUCAUGCGUCCCCGGGUGGGAAUCACUGGUGGAGUGGGGAGAAAGGAGAUGGGGCAGAGAUGGGAGGGUGAGCACCUGACACCUGUGAGUCAGGGUAGGUGGAGGCAUCAGAGAUAUGACUGUCAAUCAUGGGAGGAAAGGCCCAUCAGACCAAGGAAAUGGAUGAAGCAGAGAGGCACCUGGGAGGAUGGAGGCUGAGUGGGGGUUUUCUGCCAAGAGCAGGGAUAGCAGCACCAACAGUGUGGUUCCAGCUGAGGACUGAGGUGGAAGAGUGAGGCUGAGAGGGGUGGGUGGCACACAGGAGGACAAUGUGUGGGUGUGGGCAAAGAGGAGCAGGCUGGUAGUACACACGAAAGGAAGGGGCAGAGGGGAGUGGAGCCAGCACUGAAGGUGAGCUCAUGGAGGAGCUGACUGCCGAUGAGGAACAGAAAGAGCAGAGGCGGUGGGUGGGAUGGAUGGCAGUGUCCAGGAAGAGACUAUUGUUAGGCCCAGUGUCAAGUCAGGCUGAGAAUGGGGGUGUGUGCAUUGGGAUAUAGUGGCAAGUGCAGGGUAGGAGACAAGUAUGUGUAGGGAGGAGGAACGCGGUAUGUGAAUCAGGAAUAUGGUUCAGAAGAUAGUGUAAGAAAGGAUGUGAAAGGCAAUGUGCUGGGUCACCUGAACUCUUGGAUGUGGGGUGCUGGAAAAAUUUCAUUGCUGGGCCACAAGGCAGUGAUCAUGAGAGUCUGAGUAACAGGUGUACAUCAGUAGUGUUAUGCAAGUUGAGUGAAUGUGGUUGAGAAGGGAGUACACAUCAAAGAGGACUACAGAAUCAGAGGACUCACAGACAGUAGCCAAAAGCAUGGUGGAUGUGGAGGAUAUAACAAUACAUGCAGUAAAGGAGGAAAGAUGGAGAAAGGAUCAAUCUGAGCCCAGGAGAGGGAAGAGAAGUGAGGAGUUUUCCAGUAGGGUAGAGCAUGAUAGUAGCUGUUAUAGUCCACUGGGUAAGAAAAAUGUGAAGAGAAAAGGAAGGAGCCCACAGCUGGGAGAGGAGAGGCAUGCUGAGAAGCCUGGGGAAGGUACUGUCUUAAGGGAGAGAUGGCAAGGACAAUGAACAUGUGAGUGAAUAAACAUAUGAGAACUGUGUCUUAAUGCAGGCAAAGAGCAUAAGAAAGCCCAGCAAGGACAAAGAACAUGGGCAAGAUAAGGAGUGAAUGAAGAGGAGGUGGUAGGAAGUUUAGGGAGAAUGAGGCUAUAGUGAUCAUGGUACCUUGAAAAUGUUGGGAACCACUUUUUAACAAGGUGCAUGGUGAGAUGAUGAAAGGGUAGGGCAGUGGCUCCAAGCAAGGGGACAACUGUCUCUAAAUGUGGCAGCACUGAGAAGCUAGGAUUUUCAGGGGUGAAUUCAGGCAGCAGAUGGACUCGGUAGAGCACCUUAGGAACAAAGAAGUUUGCAAUGGUGGCAGUAGGAAGGGGUGGGUUAGGAGGAGCAGAUGUGGAGAGAAGGACUCCUGAGUUCAUGGCCUGACUGGGAAGUGGCCAAGGACAUAUGACUGAAUGAUGGAAAGGAAUCAGAGGAUCUCUGGAAGAUUAAAAAGUGGGGGGAAAAUGCAGGAGAUGCCCUGGCAAGGGUUAAAUCCACAUCCAGGAUGGAAAGAGAGAGACAUGGGAAUUGGAUUGCCAUGGGAAGGUGGUAUCUUUGAUUUGAGUUGUUUUGGGGGAGUUGAUGGGGAAGAAUGGCACUCUGGACAUAAGAGAAUAUGAGCCUGUGGUAGACUCAACACAGGUAAGGGAGCUAAUAUGGAAUAGGGGGCAGGCAGAAUGCAGAGUUCCCAAGCCAAGGAUUUUAGCAGGUCAUAGGGACAAGCUGGUAGGAUGGGAAGUAUCAAGGCCAGGCCUUAGGAGCAGAAUCAAAAGUCAGCAUUUGCAGAGUGGGGCUCUAAGAAAGGAGUGGAGCAAGGGGCUACAACAACUUGUAUAGAACAGAUGAAACAGGGCAGUGUUGCACUUUAAGAUGGGUCCUAUAUGUAUAGCACUGCAGAUACCCUGGGGACAUGGGGUAGACUUAUGCAGAAUGAGUCUAGUAUGUGGGAGAGAUGCUUGCAAAAGAGGAAGAGCAACUGGGAACCAAUGUGGAACAGGCAUUUUGCAGUGACCAAUCUGUUCUUCUGCUAUUAAGAGGUGGCUGAAAGGAGAGAAGUGUACUAUACAACAAAGAGAUUCGACGGAGGACACAGUAAAGCCACAGGGAGAUAGAAACCAGAACCUAGUGAGGCAUUAGUUUGUAUGAGAAGGCAGCAGUGAGGGUAGGUAAGAAAGAGAAAACAAGGCAGUCCUGGACAGUCUUCGGGUACUGGGAGGGUAACUGUGAUGGGCAGUGGUGCAUUUCCUGUAUGAGGCCCUAUCCAGGGGAAAGAGAAACACUGGAGGAGAGGAGAGGUUGAAAGGAAACAUAGGAGGUAUCAUACUUCUGUAGAACCUGCUAAAUGGAAAGGAAAAAGAGAAGUAACUAUAAUGGAGCGGGAGAGAUGAAAGAAAAAGCAGCCUAAG